UGCCAGCAGCCGCGGUAAUACGGAGGGUGCAAGCGUUAAUCGGAUUUAUUGGGCGUAAAGGGGGUCUAGGCGGGAAGACAAGUCAGAUGUGAAAUUUCAGAGCUCAACUCUGGAGCUGCAUUUGAAACUGUUUUUCUUGAGGAUAAUCGGAGAAAGUAGAAUUCCACAAGUAGCGGUGAAAUGCGUAGAUAUGUGGAGGAAUACCAGUGGCGAAGGCGACUUUCUAGAUUAUUCCUGACGCUAAAGCCCGAAAGCAAGGGGAGCAAACAGGAUUAGAUA
rnacentral:rRNA from 1 species